rnacentral:rRNA from 1 species
CAGCAGCCGCGGGAAUACAGAGGAUGCAAGCGUUAUCCGGAAUGAUUGGGCGUAAAGCGUCUGUAGGUGGCUUUUCAAGUCCGCCGUCAAAUCCCAGGGCUCAACCCUGGACAGGCGGUGGAAACUACCAAGCUGGAGUACGGUAGGGGCAGAGGGAAUUUCCGGUGGAGCGGUGAAAUGCGUAGAGAUGUGGAGGAACACCAGUGGCGAAGGCGACUCUCUGGUCUGUAACUGACGCUGAGGAGCGAAAGCGUGGGGAGCGAACAGGAUUAGAUACCCGCGUAGUCCCUGUCUCUUAUAC